rnacentral:rRNA from 1 species
UGGGGAAUAUUGGACAAUGGGCGAAAGCCUGAUCCAGCCAUGCCGCGUGAGUGAUGAAGGCCUUAGGGUUGUAAAGCUCUUUCAGUAGGGAAGAUAAUGACGGUACCUACAGAAGAAGCCCCGGCUAACUUCGUGCCAGCAGCCGCGGUAAUACGAAGGGGGCUAGCGUUGUUCGGAUUUACUGGGCGUAAAGCGCACGUAGGCGGAUCGUUAAGUCAGGGGUGAAAUCCUGGAGCUCAACUCCAGAACUGCCUUUGAUACUGGCGAUCUUGAGUCCGGAAGAGGUGAGUGGAACUCCUAGUGUAGAGGUGGAAUUCGUAGAUAUUAGGAAGAACACCAGUGGCGAAGGCGGCUCACUGGUCCGGUACUGACGCUGAGGUGCGAAAGCGUGGGGAGCAAACA